CUAGAUCUGUCUGAAUUUUUCUAUUCCAUUAAUCUGUGUUUUAGUGUUAAUUUUAACUUAACAUUUUAAAAUUUGCUAGGAUAAGCUGUCUCCUGUUGUCCAGCAUUUUGGGGUGAUUUUCACAAAUGCAGUCUGCUGGAUACAUUUACUUCUCCUUCUCAAGAGCUGUGAUGACUCAGAGGCGAGACAGAAACUGAAGUGUUUAUCUGCAAAAUACUUCUUGGUGAUGAUUAAAGCCAUUGUGAUGAAAAGAAAGUACAUUUAUGCACUUGUAAAUCCAGGCGCUGGCUGGGACCAGUAAGUACAGCUGACUAAAGAAUGUGCCAGAUUUAAUUUCAUCCUUUUAUUCUUUGUUAUAUGACAUUCACUAAUCCACUUAACCCACCUGUACACCACAUUCUUUACCAAUUUCCUUUGAUAUUCUGACUUUUAUGAAGAAAAAGAUGGUGUAAAGAAUAACAAUGAUCAAAGAUGGAAUGUGAUUUGAAAUUAAAAUAAAACACAAAGGAAUCUUAAAUAUCGUCCUCUCUUCUUUCAUGUACUUAUCUUUAACUACAUACCCCAUCUUUGUUUCUGGCUUCUGAGAUCAUUAUUCUUAUUCUUCCAUUAAUAAAAGCAAUAACUUAUUAUAGUAGUACUCAGCCUAAGGAACACAGGAAAAAGUAC
rnacentral:lncRNA from 1 species